UCUACCUGUGUUUACCUGGCGUGGCUCACCUGCCCAGGUAACUCACGUGUCCCCAGUUUGUUUUGAGUCACCUGGUUUGCCACACCCACCUGGCGGCCCUAGAGACAGGACCAGUGACUGUGGGGAAUAAAAAAAAAAAGGGGAGGUGGAGGAGGGUGGACUCUGUCUGUGAAGCCCUGGGACCCUAAAAUCCCUAGCCAUGUCUGAGGUCCUAGAAAGUCCUUACCCUGAGGUGGACCAGGCGCUGCUGCUGCUGGACCAAGAGCUGGACCAGAGGAUGAACCGCCUCCUCCUGCAGCCCAAGCAGCGAGGAAGAGGAGGAGGAAGAGGACAAGGCAGAGGAAGAGAAAGACCCAUCACCACCACCACCCCCAUCACCUCCCCAUCACCAAACGGCCACAUCUUCAGCCUCAUAAAUGGUCAAAUAGGAUGGGGAAGGGAUGAUGGGGUGACGGGAGGCCAGGAAUGGGGUGAUGGGAAGACAGGAAUGGGACCAGGAAGGGGGAGCAGAGA